AUCCCGUGGCCUAACAGGCAUAGUGGGACCUCAGGGCCUUACCGGAAGAGCUGGGCCACCAGGAUUGAAAGGUGAUAAGGUGAUCUAAAUAUUUCUGUUAUUGGAGUGAAUGUCAGAGCUAAUUG
rnacentral:lncRNA from 1 species